rnacentral:sRNA from 1 species
UAAGGGAAGUCAGCAAAAAA